rnacentral:rRNA from 1 species
UACAGAGGGUGCAAGCGUUGCUCGGAAUUAUUGGGCGUAAAGCGCGUGUAGGCGGUUUAUUAAGUCUGGUGUGAAAGCCCGGGGCUCAACCCCGGAAGUGCACUGGAUACUGGUAAACUAGAGGACGAGAGAGGAUGGUGGAAUUCCUGGUGUAGGGGUGAAAUCCGUAGAUAUCAGGAGGAACAUCGGUGGCGAAGGCGGCCAUCUGGCUCGUUUCUGACGCUCAGACGCGAAAGCGUGGGUAGCAAAC